ACACGAGAAGGGAGGUGGUUCCCGAAAUGUACGGAAACCGGACGCGUGAGGUGGCUGCGGGCUAAGGGCCCGACGUCAGCAACGCACCCAGUGCGGUGCCCGGCGGAGGCUAGCCGCCCGGUGCCAAUCCCAAGCAGUCACCCGACCCGCGGGCUCGCCGGUACGUCCGGCCGGCUCCUCUCACUGCAGGAGAGGAACCCGAGCCCGCGGGUCGUCUGCU
rfam:Streptomyces katrae strain NRRL ISP-5550 contig80.5, whole genome shotgun sequence.